rnacentral:rRNA from 1 species
UACGAAGGGGGGUAGCGUUGCUCGGAAUCACUGGGCGUAAAGGGUGCGUAGGCGGGUCUUUAAGUCAGGGGUGAAAUCCUGGAGCUCAACUCCAGAACUGCCUUUGAUACUGAAGAUCUUGAGUUCGGGAGAGGUGAGUGGAACUGCGAGUGUAGAGGUGAAAUUCGUAGAUAUUCGCAAGAACACCAGUGGCGAAGGCGGCUCACUGGCCCGAUACUGACGCUGAGGCACGAAAGCGUGGGGAGCAAACAGG